CACUCUAUUUAAUUAUUAAGUAUGACCUACAUUAAGUAACCCAUCCCAGAAACAAGGUACAAAAGAUAAACUUUAAUCCUUUGAAUAGCCCUAAGCCAUUUUGCCCAUCAUCUCUCCUUGGAACAAACUUUCGCUAAAACUGAAGCCGAAAAACAAGUCAACAAGUAUAAAUUUAAACAAGUGGCUCCGCCAACUCUCAGCCCAAAACCGAACCAAAGCCUCUACCAGACUCUUCAUAUAUUGGAAAAUCAGUUACACUUCUGCUCCAGUCUUUCGCAUCUCGGUUUCAUGAAGUUUUUAAUACUUUGUUUACUAAAAGAGAAUAAGAAGUUUAGGCACCAGUCCAGAUUUGGAUCUAGGUGGUAUGAUUGUGAGGGGUGUAAAAGGGUGGUGGAGAAGGUGUGGUUUGCAGAUAACUUUGAUGGUCAACUAACAAAUAUUUUCAAAAAGCUUCAUGUUUAUAGGAGAGACCUGAUUUGUUAGCACAAGCGGGAGGUAGUCAUUUCAAGAAAAAAAAAAAAAGAAAUUAGGGUGAUUCAGAGAAGUAUUAAUGAUAUCCAAAGGGACUCUACUUUCCGAUCAACAAUGAAAGAAAAAAGAGGAGCUUAAGGGACAACUUUUAGAGUACAUAACCAAAAAGAAUUAUUCUGAACAGAUAAAUCUCGUGAAUGUCUGCUUAGAUCAAAGGAAUCCAAACUGAUGAUGGUAGUUGGGUUAUUGGAGAUGAAAAUUUGAAGAAGGGAACUAUCAAGUUCUAUCAGAAUCUCACAGUAAAAAGGGUAAAGUAGUUUCUACGAAGAUGAUAUAUUGUAUUCCUGUUAUAGUUACUCAACAUAUGAACAAUCUUUUGGAUAAUACAAUUCUAGAAAAUGAGAUUAUAUAUGUUUUCUCUUUGGGUUCAUAAGAACCUCCUGGACCCAAUAGUUAUACUGGAGAGUUUUCCUUGUCUCUAAAGUAAAAG
rnacentral:lncRNA from 1 species